AAUCUUCUUUUUGCGAUGUAUCCUUUCUAUCUCUUCUGAUGGGUCAGGAUUAUUAUUGUUUCCUCUCAUAUUUCUGUUUCUAUGAUUAGAUCUAUGUUUGUACUUAUUUCUCUUUCUUUGGUGAUGUCUGCUUCUUCUAGAUCUAUCUUUCUGUAAUGAGUAGUGGUUGCUCUGAUUCUCUCUUAUGUUUCUAGGUUUCCUUCUCUUUUCUUCUCCUAAUUUUCGCUUUUGGAUUUAAUUAUUUGCUUCUGUUUUACAUUAAAACGAAUCUAGAAAAAAUAAAAAAAAUUAAUUAAUUAACUUUACUAUAAGCUUUGAUGGAAAAUCUUCGACUUCUCUUCUCUUUCUGGGAGUUUGUUCUUUUAUAAAUGAAUUCAAAAUUAUUAUCCUUUCUUUUUCAAAAUGGUUUUCGAGAUUUGAUUAACACGAAUAAUUUUCUUGGAUCCAGAUUUUCAAAAAGAUUUAUCUUCCUCUCUUCCUGAUCUUCUAAUUUAUAACCUAUGUUUUCCUUUCUUUAAUCAUCCUAUUUUCGUUUCCUCUCUUGGAUAAAUCUGUUUUUUUUUUCUCGGAAAAUGAUGAAAAAUUCCUUGGAUUCGGCUUUGCUUUAGAGGACGUAUACCCUAUGCAUCUUAUAAUUAAUCUUCAUUUGUCUUCAGAUCUAAUCAGUAAUUAAAAGUAACUUUUAAAAUUCUUGAGGGUUUGAGUGAGUUUUGCAAUCUAUUCUCCUCUCUCUUUGUCUGGGUAACUAGGAGUGGAUGGUUUUUCUUUUAAAAUGAGUUUCAUUAAGUUUAUCUCAAGAACAGGGAAUGAUAGUGUUUCUGGGAUUGUCCUCUUUCACUCACUUAAUAUCUCUGUUAUGGUUCUUAGGAUUGACUUCCUCUUUUCUUGCCUGAUUAUUAUUUGCCUAAUUAUUAUGUUUUCUUGGUCCGAUUUGCUUAUGUUUUUAGUAUUCAGUUUCUCUUUAAUGAUUAGAAUCUAAUUCUACUCCUUGUUUUCUUCUUUUGUUUGUCUUCUUUUCAAUUGUUGGUAGGAUUUCACUUAGUUUUUCUGAAAAUCUCUUUGUGAUUUAAAAAGUCUGCCGUGAAAAAAAUAAAUAAAUAAAUAGAACUUUUUCCAAGACUCUUAACCUAAAUCCGCUGAUCCCAAACGCCCCAAGGAAAUUGAGGACUCAUGUGAAACAAUAUGAUGCUGGAAUCAAUACUGAUUAUGUUUUAUAUGGUUGUAUUUUUUCGAAGAUGCAACUUUCACCAUUCAAAUCUUCGAGGCAAAUACUAAACAGUCGUCCUCAAUCAUUAAGAAGAGAUCUCUUUCCUGUAUGAGCCGUCGUGACACUUAUAUCAUACGUGUUCGUGGUAGAAGGGCUCAGGAAUCCAUCUUGAUAGUUUUAUCGCAAGUUAAGGCUCUCAAUCUUCACAACUUGUUUGUGAAUCAAUACAUGCUGGCAGUAUUAGAAGGCUACUCAUUGGGUAUCGAUGGAGAACGAAUGCUUCAUAGUUUAAUGAAGAAUUAUAAAUGUUUGUGUUAUCUUUGCAGUUUUAGUUUUAGGGUCUUCUUUAGGACCUAUCGCGUUGUUCUCUUUUCCUUAGUUAAGGUUUUAUCCCUAUAGGUUUUCCUUUUCAAGAUUUUUAACGAGGCAACAAAUGCGUGUCCAACACCUCCAGAUGGUUUUAUCUUUUUCUUA